UUUUGGUUCUUUCUCUCCUCUCUCUUCUUGGUGAGUCUGGCCAGAGGUCUUGUUUACCCUUUCAAAGAACCAGAUCUUGGUUUUAUUGAUUUUUUUUCUAUUGUUUCUGGAUCUCUAAUUUUAUUGAUUUCCUCUCUGAUCUUUAUGAUUUCCUUCCUUCUGCUGACUUUAGGUUUUGUUUGUUCUUCUUUUUCUAAGUACUUUAAGUAGUUAAGUUAUGCUACUGAUUUGAGAUUUUUCUUCUUUUUUGAGGAAAGCCUGUAUUGUUAUGAACUUCCCUCUAAGAACUGCUUUUGCAGCAUCCCAUAGGUUUUGAAUGGUUGUGUUUUCAUUAUCAUUUGUCUUGAGGUUUUUCUGUGUGUGUGUGUUUGUCUUUUUAGGGCCACACCCAUGGCAUGUGGAGGUUCCCAGAAAUGGCAAAAAGAAAAAUAAAUAAAUAAAUAAAAUGAAUCUAGACAGAGUCCUCACAUCCUUUACAAAAAAUUAACUCAAAAUGGUUCAUAGAUCUAAUUGUACAAUGUGAAACUUUAAUAAGACUCCUAGAAAAUAAUAAAGAAGAAAACCUAAGUGACCUUGGAUAUGGUGAUGCCUUUUUAGAUACAAUACCAAAGACAUAAUCCAUGAAACAAAUAAGCUGGAGUUCUUUAAAAUUAAAAAAACUUCUGCUUUGAGAAAGACACUAUCCAGAUGAUUAGAAGAGAGGCCACAAACUAGGAGAAAAUUAAUAAAAAAUGGGCCAAAGACCUUAAAAGAUACCUCAUCAAAGAAGAUAAAUGGCAAAUAAACCUGUGAAAAAAAUGCCCCACAUCAUACAUCAUCAGGGAAAUGCAAAUUAAAACAAGGAAAUGUCACUACACCCCCAUAGAGUCCAAAAUCUAGAACACUAACACCACCAAAUGCUCGCUAGGAUAUGAAGCAACAGGAACUCUUAUUCACUGCUGGUGGGUACAGCGAUUCAAUGCAAAAUGAUAUAGACACUUUGGAAGACAGUUUGGAGCCAGCAACAGGACUCCUGGGGAUUUGCCAAAAACAGCUGAAAACUUACGCCCACACAAAAACCUGCACAUGAAUGAUCAGAAAAGUAUAAAUCAUAACUGCCAAAACUUAGAACCAACCAAGGUAUCUUUCAGAAGGUGAAUGGAUAAGUAAAUUGUAGCACAUUCAGACAAUGGAACAUCCAACAUUAAAAAGCAAUGAGCCACCAAGCCAUGGAAAGACAUGUAGGAAGCUUAUUAAGUGAAAGAAGUCAAUGUGAAAAGCCUACAUACUAUAUAAUUCUAGUAUGUAUACUUAGAAUACUAUACAAGCUACAGACAUUAUGGAGACAGUAAUGAUGGAUUUAUAUCGUUAUACAUUUCUCCAAACACACAGAAUACAUAAUAUCAAGAGUGAAAUCUAAGGUAAACUAUGUGAUGUGUCAUUAUAGGUUCAUCCUUAGUAAAAAUGUAGCAUUCUGGCUAGAGAUGUUGAUAACUGAGGCGGGAGGAGGAAGGGUUGCAUGUGUCAGAGCAGAGAGAAUAUGGGAAAUCUCUACACCUUCCUCUCAAUUUUACUGUAAACUUAAAACUGCUCUUUAAAAAAAGUCUUAAAAUUUUUAAAUUAUAAGAACACAGUAUGUAUUCUUAAUCUUAUAUCUAAUUCCUUAUAACUGCUUCAGCGGGUUACUUUGCUUCUCCUUCUUCCUUUUCAUUUAACCUUAGGAGCCAAUUAAACCCAAGUACCUGUUUUGUCUUUGUUAGCCAGCUGACCUACCCUUACAUUUAUCCUUGGUCUCAGCCCUACAGAUGUGGGAAAGAGCACCAAUGAGUCAAGCACACUGGGGUAUGGACCUGACUCUGCUUAUAACCGCACAACUUCAAGUUUCAGAUUCUUAAUCCCCUAAAUGAAGUUUACAGACUAAAUGAUCUCCCAGUUCUUCCUAGCCCCAACUUUUUACAAUUCUCAGUUAAUAACAGGUACAAUUAAAAUAAAUGUGAAAGGAUUCCAGAAAGAUGGUGAUGAAGGCUGCAGCCUUUGAAUGUCCCUAAAUUCCCCCAUAAAAAUAGACCAACUAGGAUAACUAAACCAAUAAUUCACAUAACAAAACCAGAUAAGAUGAAUUGCUAUGAACCUCAAAAUAUAAGUAAACAAGGAAAUACUACUAACAGUUACAAGAUAUGUACAAUCAAAGAUUGUAUAUCAACACAAACUGACCUUAAAGUAUACUGACACAUAGUUUUAAGAAUAUGCAAGAACCUAAGGAAUACAAUUCCCUUGAGCCUUCCCGGAACACACUAUACACUGGUACUAUCCAUAACAAGUCUCCGUAAUGAUGGAAAUGCUCUUUCCAUGCUCUUCAAUAUAGUAGCCACCAGCCACAUGUAACUAUCAGGCGCUUGAAAUAUGGCUUCAUGUAACUAAGGCACUGAAUUUUUUAUUUUAUUUUAAUUAAUUUACACAGCUAUGUUGUUAGUUUUUGACCCUGUAGCUAUAGAAUAAACAUUAAACAAUGAAAACAACUGGCAUACCAUAAAGACGGGCAAUAUUUUGGAAAACAGUUUGGCAGGGCUUUUUUUAAAGUUAGUUAUGGAAUUUUAAUAUUAACCAUCAAUUCCACUCCUAAGAAUCUGCACAGGAGAAAUGAAAACAUGUCUACACAAAAACUUAUAUAUAAAAGAUGACAGUAGCAUUAUUCGUUUUUUCUCCAGUUUUUUUCCACUUUUACCGAGAUAUAACUGGCAUAUAAUAUUAUAGUAAUUCAAGGUGUACAACAAAAUGAUUUGAUGUAUAUAUACACUGCUAAAUGAGUACCGCAAUAAGUUUAGUUAAUGUCAAUCACCUCACAGUUAUGAUCUUUUUUUCUUAUAAUGAGAACUUUGAAGACAUACUCUCAGGAGUUCCCAUCGUAGCUCAGUAGUUAACGAAUCCGACUAGGAACCAUGAGGUUGUAGGUUCGAUCCCUGGCCUUGCUCAGUGGAUUAAGGAUCCGGCGUUGCCAUGAGCUGUGGUGUAGGUCGCAGAUGCAGCUCGGAUCCCGCAUCCCGCAUUGCUGUGGCCGUGGUGGGCCGUGGUGGCUACAGCUCUGAUUAGACCCCUAGCCUGAGAACCUCCAUAUGCCGCAGGAGAGGUCCUAGAAAAGGCAAAAAGACAUACUCUCUUAGCAAUGUUCAAAUAUAAAUACAGUAUUGUUAACCACAGUCAGUAUGCUGCAUAUUACAUCCCCAGAACUUACCUUCUAAGUGAAACAUUUACAUUUU
rnacentral:lncRNA from 1 species